rnacentral:rRNA from 1 species
GACGUAGGGCGCGAGCGUUGUCCGGAUUUAUUGGGCGUAAAGAGCUCGUAGGCGGCUUGUCGCGUCGACUGUGAAAUCCCGCGGCUCAACUGCGGGUCUGCAGUCGAUACGGGCAGGCUAGAGUUCGGUAGGGGAGACUGGAAUUCCUGGUGUAGCGGUGAAAUGCGCAGAUAUCAGGAGGAACACCGAUGGCGAAGGCAGGUCUCUGGGCCGAUACUGACACUGAGGAGCGAAAGCCAGGGGAGCAAACGGG